rnacentral:rRNA from 1 species
GGGUAGAUAACUGGGGUGAAGUCGUAACAAGGUAUCCGUACCGGAAGGUGCGGAUGGAUCACCUCCUUU